CCUACGGGUGGCAGCAGUGAGGAAUAUUGGUCAAUGGGCGGAAGCCUGAACCAGCCAAGUCGCGUGAGGGAUUAAGGCCCUGCGGGUCGUAAACCUCUUUUGCCGGGGAGCAGAUGUCCGUACGUGUCCGGUCCGGGACAGUACCCGGAGAAAAAGCAUCGGCUAACUCCGUGCCAGCAGCCGCGGUAAUACGGGGGAUGCGAGCGUUAUCCGGAUUUAUUGGGGUUAUAGGGUGCGUAGGCGGGCAUUUAAGCCGGCGGUGAAAUGUCGGGGCUCAACCCCGGCCUGCCGUCGGAACUGGGGGCCUGGAGUGGGCGAGAAGUAGGCGGAAUGCGUGGUGUAGCGGUGAAAUGCAUAGAUAUCACGCAGAACCCCGAUUGCGAAGGCAGCAUACCGGCGCCCGACUGACGCUGAGGCACGAAAGUGCGGGUAUCGAACAGGAUUAGAUACCCCAGUAGUC
rnacentral:rRNA from 1 species